rnacentral:rRNA from 1 species
CAUGCAAGUCGAACGGAGCUUAGAGAGCUUGCUUUUUAAGCUUAGUGGCGAACGGGUGAGUAACGCGUGAGUAACCUGCCCUAGAGUGGGGGACAACAGUUGGAAACGACUGCUAAUACCGCAUAAGCCCACGGUACCGCAUGGUACUGAGGGAAAAGGAUUUAUUCGCUUUAGGAUGGACUCGCGUCCAAUUAGCUAGUUGGUGAGGUAACGGCCCACCAAGGCGACGAUUGGUAGCCGGACUGAGAGGUUGAACGGCCACAUUGGGACUGAGACACGGCCCAGACUCCUACGGGAGGCAGCAGUGGGGGAUAUUGCACAAUGGGGGAAACCCUGAUGCAGCGACGCCGCGUGGAGGAAGAAGGUUUUCGGAUUGUAAACUCCUGUCGUUAGGGACGAUAAUGACGGUACCUAACAAGAAAGCACCGGCUAACUACGUGCCAGCAGCCGCGGUAAAACGUAGGGUGCAAGCGUUGUCCGGAAUUACUGGGUGUAAAGGGAGCGCAGGCGGGAAGACAAGUUGGAAGUGAAAACCAUGGGCUCAACCCAUGAAUUGCUUUCAAAACUGUUUUUCUUGAGUAGUGCAGAGGUAGAUGGAAUUCCCGGUGUAGCGGUGGAAUGCGUAGAUAUCGGGAGGAACACCAGUGGCGAAGGCGGUCUACUGGGCACCAACUGACGCUGAGGCUCGAAAGCAUGGGUAGCAAACAGGAUUAGAUACCCUGGUAGUCCAUGCCGUAAACGAUGAUUACUAGGUGUUGGGGGAUUGACCCC